AGUGAACGCUGGCGGCGUGCUUAACACAUGCAAGUCGAACGAGAACGGAUUAUAGCUUGCUAUAAUUGUCAGCUAAGUGGCGCACGGGUGAGUUAUGUAUAGAUAACCUGCCCUCUAGAAAGGAAUAACAGUUGGAAACGACUGCUAAUGCCCUAUAUGCCUUUAAUACAUAAGUAUGCAAGGGAAACGCUUUAGUGCUAGAGGAUGGGUCUGUAUGGUAUCAGUUAGUUGGUGAGGUAAUGGCUCACCAAGACUAUGACGCCUAACUGGUUUGAGAGGAUGAUCAGUCACACUGGAACUGAGACACGGUCCAGACUCCUACGGGAGGCAGCAGUGGGGAAUAUUGCACAAUGGACGAAAGUCUGAUGCAGCAACGCCGCGUGGAGGAUGACACAUUUCGGUGCGUAAACUCCUUUUAUAUAGGAAGAUAAUGACGGUACUAUAUGAAUAAGCACCGGCUAACUCCGUGCCAGCCGCCGCCGUAAAAC
rnacentral:rRNA from 1 species